AAUAGAUACCCGGGUAGUCCACGCCGUAAACGGUGGGCACUAGGUGUGGGCGACAUUCCACGUCGUCCGUGCCGCAGCUAACGCAUUAAGUGCCCCGCCUGGGGAGUACGGCCGCAAGGCUAAAACUCAAAGGAAUUGACGGGGGGCCCGCACAAGCGGCGGAGCAUGUGGCUUAAUUCGACGCAACGCGAAGAACCUUACCAAGGCUUGACAUACACCGGAAAACCCUGGAGACAGGGUCCCCCUUGUGGUCGGUGUACAGGUGGUGCAUGGCUGUCGUCAGCUCGUGUCGUGAGAUGUUGGGUUAAGUCCCGCAACGAGCGCAACCCUUGUCCCGUGUUGCCAGCAGGCCCUUGUGGUGCUGGGGACUCACGGGAGACCGCCGGGGUCAACUCGGAGGAAGGUGGGGACGACGUCAAGGUCAGUCAUGCCCCUUAUGUCUUGGGCUGCGACACGUGCUACAAUGGCCGGUACAAUGAGCUGCGAUACCGCGAGGUGGAGCGAAUCUCGAAAAAGCCGGUCUCAGUUCGGAUUGGGGUCUGCAACUCGACCCG
rnacentral:rRNA from 1 species